AAUAGAUACCCCGGUAGUCCACGCCGUAAACGAUGAGUGCUAAGUGUUAGAGGGUUUCCGCCCUUUAGUGCUGCAGCUAACGCAUUAAGCACUCCGCCUGGGGAGUACGGUCGCAAGACUGAAACUCAAAGGAAUUGACGGGGGCCCGCACAAGCGGUGGAGCAUGUGGUUUAAUUCGAAGCAACGCGAAGAACCUUACCAGGUCUUGACAUCCUCUGACAACUCUAGAGAUAGAGCGUUCCCCUUCGGGGGACAGAGUGACAGGUGGUGCAUGGUUGUCGUCAGCUCGUGUCGUGAGAUGUUGGGUUAAGUCCCGCAACGAGCGCAACCCUUGAUCUUAGUUGCCAGCAUUUAGUUGGGCACUCUAAGGUGACUGCCAGUGACAAACCGGAGGAAGGUGGGGAUGACGUCAAAUCAUCAUGCCCCUUAUGACCUGGGCUACACACGUGCUACAAUGGAUGGUACAAAGGGCUGCAAGACCGCGAGGUCAAGCCAAUCCCAUAAAACCAUUCUCAGUUCGGAUUGUAGG
rnacentral:rRNA from 1 species